AAUACAAAUAAAACCCUAUGACAGUCUUGAGUAGAAUUCUAAUAUUUUUCUUGAAGAGAAAAUGAAAUGGAAAAUAACAUGUGACUCUAUCAAAACAAAAAAGAAAAAGAACAUAUGGCUUGACCUUAUUAGAGGAGAGCAGAAUUUUUAACUUUUAUUGGUGCGAGUCUGUGAACCCCAACAAUCUCUGGUCAACAUAUGUUUCCUCGUCUGUAUAGCUAUUGUUCUUUGUAAGAAACGUGGACGGGUAGGUAUGAAUGUCCGCUGAAGAUUGGCAGCUAUGGCCUAUGAAACUCCAGCACCAUGCCUCUCUUCUUCUCUUUUUUCAAGAUUCAAGAAUCCAUUUCCAGCACUUUCUUUUUCCAUUCCCACAAGACCAUGUCUCUCACACCUUUGAUGUUUAGGUCAUUGCUGAGGCUUCUAACAUCACUAAUUGGUGAUCCUGCGGCAUCAGUCUCAACCUUACUAUUCUACAGCGACCUUUUACCUCAGAAUGUCGUUUUGGAGAGAUUGGUUCAGCAUGAAUUACUACAUGAAGAAAAUUAUCUCUUCCAUUUUCUCAUAAACUUCAUGAGAUGUUUCUGGUAACUGUUUCGUGAAUACCACAAGCUGAGAUUUGACUCAUCUUUAUUUCUCCAUCUCCACAUGGAUUUUUAUCAAAAUGAAACAUAGUUGGUUCUCAAUUUUCUUUUUCUUUUUUCUUUAAUUGUUGAAUAGUGGAUCCGCGGAUUUUUUCGUGCAAUUGUAAACUUAGUCAUUUGGUGAGUCUAUUAAUUUCGGACUUAAUUUUACACUGAAUAAUGUUUUGUUUCCUUACUUCCAUGUCAAUAAGAACUUCUGUUCGAGUUA